rfam:Musa acuminata subsp. malaccensis Doubled-haploid Pahang (DH-Pahang) genomic chromosome, chr11
GUUAUGCUACGAUGAAUUAUGAAAUGUAAUCUUCGCAUGUCAGACUUCAGAGAUACUCUCGAUUAUCGAUGAGAAGUCAUUUCAUUCUUCUGAGCAAGUU